CUCCCACCCGUCUGGUUGAUGGCUCCCCUGCAUACACCGUUAAGAAGAUCCUGAAGUCCCGUAUAUGGGGUCGGGGUACCCAGUACCUCAUCGACUGGGAGGGUUACGGGCCUGAAGAACGCCAGUGGGUUCCCUCCCGCCACAUUUUGGAUAAAUCUUUAAUCAGCGACUUCCACAGGGCCCAUCCGGACCAGCCCAGGGCGCCUGGAAUUCGCCCUUGAGGGGGGGGGCUCUGUAACGUUCCUGGCACUGGGGCUGUUAAUUGCCGACACCUGUUCCGGCUCCACCUCACCAGUAUAAAGGUUCCGUGCCUCUCAGCCUCCAGUGCCAGAACGUCUCGAGCCAACCCGGUGAGAACUUCCAGCACUCUGAAUUAACCUGUCUGUCAGUCUGAAGCCCGACCUGUUUUUGCCCUGUUUUCUGAGCCAGCUCUGCCCUUUUCGGAUCCUGUUUGCCCGCCCUGAGUUCUGCCUGUCAGUCUCUGGAUUUGGAUUGCUCACCCGUGUACCGACCUUAUCAGCCUGUGAGUACCUGAGAUUGCCUGUCCCCCUAAACUGUCUGUCCUUUGGAUUCUGACGCGGACCUGGACCUGGAAACCCCUUUCGGAUUUGCCCUUGGAAACCUCUGCCUAGUCAAUCGCCCUCACGAUAUCGGACCCGGACUGGACUCGGACAAACGACCUUGGAUAAUCCCGCACGGACUCUGCCGCCCUCAGGGGCCAGAAGAAACACCGACAAGCCCACCCUCCACCAGGAGCUGCCAGCCGCCGAGCGUGAGCCGCACGCAGCAAGGGCCGUGCAACCCCUUCUUUUAAUAAAAUAUCAAAGCGUCA